UUUAUACACUUGAUCUCUGAAUUUCAGGUAAGUUCACAUGUUGACAAGCUUACAUAACUGAUGCA